GUAGGGAAUCUUCGGCAAUGGGCGAAAGCCUGACCGAGCAACGCCGCGUGAAUGAAGAAGGCCUUCGGGUUGUAAAAUUCUGUUAUAAGGGAAGAAAGGUGAUAGGAGGAAAUGACUAUCAAUUGACGGUACCUUAUGAGAAAGCCACGGCUAACUACGUGCCAGCAGCCGCGGUAAUACGUAGGUGGCAAGCGUUAUCCGGAAUUAUUGGGCGUAAAGAGCGCGCAGGUGGUUAAUUAAGUCUGAUGUGAAAGCCCACGGCUUAACCGUGGAGGGUCAUUGGAAACUGGUUGACUUGAGUGCAGAAGAGGGAAGUGGAAUUCCAUGUGUAGCGGUGAAAUGCGUAGAGAUAUGGAGGAACACCAGUGGCGAAGGCGGCUUCCUGGUCUGCAACUGACACUGAGGCGCGAAAGCGUGGGGAGCAAACAGGAUUAGAUACCCCAGUAGUCC
rnacentral:rRNA from 1 species